rnacentral:lncRNA from 1 species
CAUUCAAAUAUGAUGUGUCUUUGAAUCGUCCAUGAAAUUAACUUUCGAUACAUAUUCUCAAGGUGUUAAGAAUUAGAGACAUAUAUUUGACUCUUAAAUACUUUCGAUCAUAGGAUCAUCAUGAGGAUGAUAAUCGAUCCGGAUAGACCGACGCACAGAUUGCUUCCUUCAGGAUAGAUGAAUCUCUAAUCUACAGUAUAGAAACACUAGACGAUGAAUGCAGAUAGUUGUUAGAGAACAAGUAGUACUGAGCGUGAUCAUACGAGAGAUCAUUUGAAUUUUUAUUCAAUCGUUAGUGAUUGUUUUGAUGCUGUAGUUGUGUGAAUGGUCUUUUGGCCUAAGAUGGUACUACUGCUCACAAUGAGGCUGCUGGAGUUUGACUGGCAUAUAAAUAUGGAUCUCAAUGAGCCCUUAUAGUGGAUGUUGACGACAGUUGGUCCACUGUAGGAGUAGGGUAUGCAUCAAGAUGGGAUCUAUUGACCUUGAUAGAGAGUAGUCCUAUGAGAUUUGAGAGGCUAAGUUCAAGAGUCUGUGGCCAAAGCAGUGUGAUUGAUGGAAAAUUUUUUUAAAAAAAUCACAAUUAGACUUGAGCUGAUCGAAUUUAUCAUAUGACUGAUGUUGAGAUUUGACUAUUUAUCCAUGAUCUACCAUCUGGUCGGAACUCACGAUAGAGAGACUGAAUCACACGUUAACUACAUCUUGAGAUUCAUUUCAAUUUUACUGGGUUGCCACUACAUACUGCUAGAUAUCACUGAUAGAUUGUGAGAGCUCACUAGGAUUGUUCUGGAUCGACAAUCCUUAAUGAGUUGGAAUGGAAUUGUUCUGAUCUAUUGAAAAGAGUUUCAAUGAUACUUUGGUAGAGAUCAUUGUAUAUCUCACUACCAGAUAGAAUUAACCUAUGGGGUCACACAAUAAAGAGAUUAGAUCUGAAAUAAGCAAUUGGACUUAUGAAGUGUC